AUUGAACGCUGGCGGCAGGCCCAACACAUGCAAGUCGAGCGGAUGAAGGGAGCUUGCUCCUGGAUUCAGCGACGGACGGGUGAGUAAUGCCUAGGAAUCUGCCUGGUAGUGGGGGAUAACGUCCGGAAACGGGCGCUAAUACCGCAUACGUCCUGAGGGAGAAAGUGGGGGAUCUUCGGACCUCACGCUAUCAGAUGAGCCUAGGUCGGAUUAGCUAGUUGGUGGGGUAAAGGCCUACCAAGGCGACGAUCCGUAACUGGUCUGAGAGGAUGAUCAGUCACACUGGAACUGAGACACGGUCCAGACUCCUACGGGAGGCAGCAGUGGGGAAUAUUGGACAAUGGGCGAAAGCCUGAUCCAGCCAUGCCGCGUGUGUGAAGAAGGUCUUCGGAUUGUAAAGCACUUUAAGUUGGGAGGAAGGGCAGUAAGUUAAUACCUUGCUGUUUUGACGUUACCAACAGAAUAAGCACCGGCUAACUUCGUG
rnacentral:rRNA from 1 species